AGCAACUCGGGGUGGUAAGAUAAAUAAAUGUGUAUAAGCAGGGAAGGAAUACACACACACACACACACACACACACACACGGUCAUCCAGCUGCAUGAAAACCAGGAUCAAAUCAGAUACAACGUUGUUUCUAAGAUUUUACCUAUCGGCAACGGUUAAAGCAAGACUAUCUUUGCGCAUUCCCUUUUCACCAUUUUCUUCACUGUUGAAGACAGCAUUUAUUUCCGUUCCCGUAUUACUGGCAGCCUUUUCAACCCGAGGCGCCAGCAAGUUCCUACCAAAACACUGGAACAAUUCAUCCAUGGAUUACUCUUUGCAGACGAUGCCGCGCUUCUUGCCCGUGCAAAGACAGUUCUGCAACGCAUCACCUUUUGCUUUGCAGAAGUUUCUCGGCACUUUGGCCUAGUAGUCAGUUUUCCAUCAACCUGCACACGGCAAUAAUACUGCUUCCCUCACAACGCCAUCGAUGAAACUGAACUAAAUACAAUCAACGAUUUUACCGACUUAUGGCGCACCAUUACAUCAGAUGGCAACAUCGACAGGGAAGUUGACAAGAAACUGGCGAAGGUAAAUGGUGUAUUCGGUAGAUGUACAAAAGAGUCUGGAACAAUAGCCAUCUGAAGACAUUGCGUCAGGAUCAGUGUAUGCAGAGUCGUCAUGCUGAACACCCUAUGUACAGUUCAGAGUGGUCGGUCAUCGAUCAGGAUCACCUAAGAGAUACAUUCAGUACUGUCAUCACAUCAGCCUCACUAUCCUGUGGAGUGAUUUUGUCGCUAACGUCGAGGUCCUAGAGCCGGUGAGAGUCACCAGCAUUUAAGCAACUCUGUUGAAGACACGUUACCAGGAAGGAGGAUCAUCGAUUUCUCAAGAUCAGCUUUAUGGAGAAUUCUCCCCUGAUCAUCUUGAUAAAGAAGUCUGAAAGAUAUUUGAGGACUCCAUAAAGAAAUCCUUCAGCACUUGUCACGUUGAUCUCCACCCGUGAUCUGUUCUUGUCGCUGACUGUGAAGUCUGGCGUCUCACUGUCCUCCGGGCAACAGCCUCUUUUAGAGAUACCCGCAGGACCAUCCUUGCAGACAAGAGAAAGAGAGAGAACAAGGACGUUGCGAGCAACCCUGAUCAGCACAUUUUCCUCUGCGGCCUCUGCAGUUGUGCUUGUUUGUCCCGAAUAGGAUUGGUCAGCCAUCAUUAAGCCUGCAACAGACAUGAAUAUCCUUCUCUGUAAAUAUUCACUCUUGAAGAGAAACCAAAUGUAACUGAUGGGUGCAGUUUAUUUUCAAACAAUGCCAUUGCUUGAUUGUUCUCUUAAAACAGCAUGGAUGUGGCUUUUCAACCAUGCUAGGGACUUACACUCUUUCGCACAAGUGUGGAAACGACGUUGUGCCUCUUCCAGCAAAUGCUCAGAGAGCUUACCACCCACGCUAACAUACACCUUCAUUGAGUAAUGGAAUUUUUCAUUAAAUCUUUUACCUUUUUCGAUUACGGCCAGUCAAAGUAUGCAACACAUAAUACAGAUGUUAAAACUUAAGUGAUAUCUGUGUCUGAAGCUUUCGUUAAGUGAAGGAAAUCCUCGCACAGGGCCAGUCUCACUUCGCAUACAUUUGCUUAUAAAAAUAACUAUUCUACAUUAUAGGAUGUAAACGAAGUCGCAGGUGCUACAUUAGAGUUUUCCUUCUCCUAGCUACUUACUUCAUCAUAUAGCAUUCCCCAUUUUUAUUAAUUCUUUCCUAAUUUUGGCACGAGGCGAGAAAUUUUGAGGGGAAGUGGCAAGUUGAUUACAUUGACCUCAGUACGUAACUGGUACUUAUUUUAUCGACUCCGGAGAGCUGAAAGGCAAAGUUGACCCUGGUAGAAUUUGGAUUCGACGUAACAAGUCGGAAGGAAUACUAAGCAUUUUAUCCGACGUACUUAUGAUUCUACUAACUCGCUGCCUUCCCCACUUUUAUUAAUGAGGAGAUAAAUUGAAUUUGCCUCCAUAUAAUUCUUUUCGCCAUGAGGUUGGGCAAACUUUAAUAGCUGAAAACCAUCUUAAUUUUAUUAAACCUGGCCGGUUGACCAUAAAUUCUCAAUCUUCACAGUUCCUCCACUCCCGCUCAUAUUGAGGAUGUGACCACCUCUUUCUUCACAGAAAUACUGAGCUGCUCGAUAAAAUCUCUCAUCGACUAGCCGUUGAUGAUAUCUUAGACAGGAGUAUAUAUGCGUGCGCGUGGGAAAGACAGAGAGACUGCAUGCAUGUGUACGUAUACUUGUACACGCACACACACUCAGAUGAAAAGAGAUAGAGAGACAGAGAGGACACCUGAAAAUGGUUGGACAAAAUGCGAAACGAAAUUAAUUAUAAAUCCAUAAAAUGUCAUCUACUAUAUCACUUUUAAUUAGCCUAACGAAUUCCUAUUAGUUUAAUGAGAAUGUACAUUAAAAGGGACGCGACAUCCAUCGGAAAAGUUAUUCACAUGACGAGUUUCUACUGAAAAGUAAAGCAUGAAAGGUGAGGCCUUUCUGACUGAUGUUUAAAGCUGGAUAAUGAUAUGGACGAAUCUGUUUGCAAAAGUAAUUCUGAAGAAUUGAAGAGGUAAAUUUACCUUAUCUUGUCUUACUC